rnacentral:rRNA from 1 species
ACAGACCUGAGUGCGGCAGGACUACCCGCCGAACUUAAGCAUAUUACUCAGCGGAGGAAAAGAAAACAACCGUGAUUCCCUCAGUCAGCGGCGAGCGAAGAGGGACCAAACUCGUUGCCGAAUCGGGCCUCAAGGGCCUUGAGUUGUGGCAUAAACGCUGCUCUGUGAUUGGUGUGGGAAUGGCGAAAUUCAAGCGCAAAGCAAACCCAUUGCUGAAUACAACCCUUCAUGUGAGUAUUGAGCCAAAGAAGGUGUUAGCCCAUUGAGCCAUGAACCCGAACAUCUCAUUGAGUAGUACUAAGAGAGUAGCACUGUUUGGGAAUGCAGUGUCAAGCGGCAGGUAUGUGUCUGCCAAAGUUAAAUACAGAGUAGGAAGACCGAUAGCGAA